ACGGUUGUUUUUUAAAUGUUGAACAACGCGCCCGCCGUAGACUCGGUAAAAGUUACAUGCUUCGACAGUUGGGAUACCACACUCGCUCGUGAUUAUUUUGUGGUGUAAUUCAAAUUUGCAAAUGCAGUCAUCCGUUAAAUCGAGCGCCCAAAUUAAAAUGAGUCACCAUAGCUUGAGGUAAGUCGAUGUUCACGGAGGAUAGCCCGGUAAAGUGAUUAAUGUACGUAACCAUCUAGAUAUACAGUUUAUGUAUCGGAGGCCAGAUGAGAGCUUGAGCAAAAGACGUUAGCGACACCCUCAUUGUAUAGCAGGCCUGUCUCCCAAAUAGGACCGUUGGAGGGUGGGAGUGAGACCCGUUACAAAAUACUAGUGUGACAAUUUCUUGACCGUGACAUCCCUAACGUUAGUUGGAUUACAUUUCUGUAUAAGUACGGUUUUAAGUGUAAGUUACUCUGUUUAAUUUGCUUAGAGUUUGUUUGUAGAGUCACUUAUACUAAAAUGUAGUUAAAAUGUAAAAUGCUUAAAGAUAAUUGUAUAGUCACUAUUAACUAUUACUAUUGUCACAUGUAUAAUUGUUUGUUUUAGGACACACUUUGCCAUGCAGGCCACUGGAUGCUGACUACUGAAGGUUAGGUUGUGUGUGACGGUGCUCAGCACAGCUUCAUGUCUGGCCUUCCCACUCUGUUCAUAGCAUGUUACAUAUCCAGUCUUGAGUACCAGGAUGGGGCAGCGUGUACUUGGAGUCCAAUGAAAGAUAUUAAUCCAGAGAGUGGAACAAGCAGCGUCAUCUAAAAUGCCAGGAUACAGAAGAAACAGGUUGCAGUGAACCCACAUGUCGCCGCUCUUCUAAACACAAUGAUGAAUAUUCAGUGUAAUCGAUGAAAAUUCCAGCUACUUGUUGUGCUCUGAUGGAUCAAGAUGUGGACCGUUUUACAGACUCACUUGGGCCUUGUUUUGCAAUGUUGUUUCAUGAUGGUAAUGUUGGUUAACGUGUUGUUUAAACAUUAAUGUUUAAAGAGCCAUGUUGGAUACUAUGAAGUUCUUACUGAAUAAAAUUAUUUCAUGUACAACAACGUACACAAUUUGUCUGUAAUGUAUUUUUGUAUCAAUUAAAAAAAAAUAAACACUGUAUAUCCAGUAUGCAAAACAUACUGGAUAUACAGUGAUUUAUGUAUUUCUUCUAAAUAAAGUAAAUUAAAAUCAAGCAAUUUGCUGUAAAAAAUACAGCAUUAUACUGUUGCUAUUCAAAAUUACAGUUUUUCCUGUAUUCUGCAAUUACAGUAAAUGGCUGUAAAUUAAAUUACAGUACUGUGGCUGUACAAUUUACAGUAACUGGCUGGCAACCCUGCUGCCAGUAGUUUACUGUAAAUUUUACAGGA